GCGGUUCGCUCUGGUUCGGAGGGCGGAAGUGCCCGCUGGGCUGUUUUCUGACCCCCGGCGGCGGCGCUCUGUGCGGCUGCGCGCGCACUGGGACUUCUGCUCCUGCGCCUCUGCAGGACGCUGUGAUCCCGGUAGACCCAACCCGACCGAGCGUCUUCCGCGCUGCGGGAAGCCGGAGCAGAGCCGGCACCUCGGGUAAAGUCAUUUCAGUUGCUUUUGCCAAGAGUCAGCUAUUUGACGCUGGUAACUGACAAAGUGAAAAAGCACUUUCAGAAGGUUAUGAGACAAGAAGAUGUUAGUGAGAUUUGGUUUGAAUAUGAAGGCACACCCCUGAAAUGACACUCCUUCCGUUUUAGGCAUUAUCCAAUUGGCCUACUGUUCGAUCUUCUUGCAUCAAGCUCAGCUCUGCCUUGGAACAUCACA
rnacentral:lncRNA from 1 species